CCACGAGGUUCCGAUCGACCAACGGCGCCCAGGCGUCAUGUGUUUCUCUAAAUGACGCAGAAAAGGGCCCGACGGAGAUUUGUUCUGGGCGCAACAAACUAACCUUCAGAUUCCUUCAGAGGAGGAACUGGGAAGAUUAGUCCAUCAGAAAGUGUGAGUUUUCUCAAAUUUACUUUCUGUCACUUGUGCGAACAAACUGCUUCCUGGUGACAGUUGAUAAAGCCUCAUCUCUAAAAGAAAUGUGUAUGGAUGUAUGCUGGUCAGUCAUGACAUUUAUGCUAUAUGAGGAUCACCGGAUUAAUCGAUAAUAAUCAGACGGUGUUUACUGAA